rnacentral:rRNA from 1 species
GACGAACCGUGCGAACGUUGUUCGGAAUCACUGGGCUUAAAGGGCGCGUAGGCGGCUUGCCAAGUCCGCUGUGAAAGCCCUGGGCUCAACCUGGGAAUUGCAGUGGAUACUGGCAAGCUAGAGUGCGGUAGAGGAUGGUGGAAUUCCCGGUGUAGCGGUGAAAUGCGUAGAGAUCGGGAGGAACACCCGUGGCGAAGGCGGCCAUCUGGACCAGCACUGACGCUGAGGCACGAAAGCGUGGGGAGCAAACAGG